GUCGUAACAAGGUUUCCGUAGGUGAACCUGCGGAAGGAUCAAUUAUACGAAUACAAAACUUAAACCCUAAAAUGACUGUGGAUCGUAAUGUCUCAGAUAUUUUGAUCCGAGGGCGAUUAGUUGACAUGGCUUAGGUUGAAGUCGGCUUUUCGUCAGUGCUCACCCUGAAAUUUUUAUAACUUGGCAUAAUUUACUCCUUAGAGAUUACCUAUCACUUUACAACUUUUAGCGAUGGAUGUCUCGGCUCAGGCAACGAUGAAGGACGCCGCUAAAUGCGAUAAGCGCUGUGAAUGGCAGAAUUCCGCGAAUCAAGAGAAUGCCGAACGCAUACUGCACUUUUGGGUUAUUCCUGAAAGUAUGUCUGGUUCAGGGCUAUUAGAAUUUCAUGUUGCCAACUAUGCAGAAAUUUUUUCUACUAUUUGGCAAAUGUUUUUGUGCUCCAGCGAUGCAGUGCAAGUGCACAUACCGCUGGUGCAUCAAUCUCACUGACCAUGAAUGGUUUCAUCUGAUCACGCUUUGUGAAUCUAAAACUUUAGUUCCGGCCUAUCAGAUCCAUGCAUGUGCUUAAUUUGAAGAGCCCAUUUUCAUUGGCAUGAACUCAGACAAGGCUACCCGCUGAAUUUAAGCAUAUAAGUAAGCGGAGGAAAAGAAAAUGAAUAUGAUUCCCCCAGUAAGGGCGACUGAACAGGGAAGAGCUCAAAAUGUAAAUCCAAAGCUUGCUUUGGAAUUGUAGUCUUGAGUGCCAUUGCCAGUGUUGCCUUUCGCGUAAGUGUCCUUGGAAAAGGCCGUCACAGAGGGUGAGAACCCCGUUCACGUGAAAAGUGUGAUGCAUACGGUAUGGCUAUUUAGAGUCGCGUACUUUGGAAAUGGUGCGCAAAACGGGAGGUAAUUUUCUUCUAAAGCUAAAUAUUGGCCUGAGACCGAUAGCAAACAAGUACCGUGAGGGAAAGAUGAAAAGGACUUUGGAAAGAGAGUUAAAAGUUCCUGAAAUCGCUAAGAGGGAAGCGAAUGGAACCAGUUUCUUUGCGCAAGAUUGCUGAUGGCUAAGGUGAAUUUCGAUUCCGCAAGGGUCGUGUAUUUGAUCUGGACGCCGCUGGUGUUUCUUGGGUGAAGUUGCCAUCGUGCAUUGGGCGCUCGAAGAUAAUCGCUUAUGGAUCGAGUCUUCGCUUCGGUGUUGCUCGUUCCUAGGUUGAGAUUCCUGCCCCGAUGUUUUUUUGCGCGUUUAGAUCUCACUGUGGCAUAAUAUUGGUGAAGGUUUCGCGGAGUCCCAGAUUGCGUGUUUCUGAUCCUUUAUGAGUUGCAAUAUUUCUAAUCCCGCACGCUGGCUAAAUGGUUCUAUUCCACCCGUCUUGAAACACGGACCAAGGAGUCGACUUCUAUCGCAAGUGUGCGGGUGGCAAACCUGUGCGCGGAAUGAAAGUAAUUGUUACGAAUUUUUACGCUGUAACGACCGACUUCGAUCUACUGAGAGAGGUUUGAGUUUUAGCGAUGAGGGUCGGACCCGAAAGAUGGUGAACUAUGCGUGA
rnacentral:rRNA from 1 species